GGGUUAGGGGUUAGGGCUUUGAUUUUCUUUUAGACGGGGAGAAAUCUUGUAACUAUAAAUACAACAAUUAUAGUUCCUCACCGCCUCCCUAGACCCUAACUGAGUUCUACAGCGAACAGAAUGGUUCACGUCUCCUUUUAUCGGAACUAUGGGAAAACUUUUAAGAAGCCAAGGCGUCCUUAUGAGAAGGAACGUUUGGAUGCCGAGCUGAAGCUUGUCGGAGAGUAUGGGCUCCGUGCCAAGAGGGAACUCUGGAGGGUUCAGUAUGCUUUGAGUCGCAUUCGUAAUGCUGCCAGAAUGCUUCUCACCCUUGACGAGAAGAACCAGCGCCGUAUUUUUGAGGGUGAGGCGCUUUUGAGGAGGAUGAAUAGGUAUGGGCUUUUGGAAGAGAGCCAGAACAAGCUCGAUUAUGUGUUGGCUCUCACCGUGGAAAACUUUCUCGAGCGCCGCCUCCAGACUCUUGUUUUCAAGGCUGGUAUGGCUAAGUCCAUCCACCAUGCCAGAGUGCUCAUCAAACAGAGGCACAUUAGGGUUGGGAGGCAGGUGGUCAAUAUUCCAUCCUUCAUGGUGAGAGUUGACUCGCAGAAGCACAUUGAUUUCUCACUGACAAGCCCCUUUGGUGGUGGACGCCCUGGUAGAGUGAAGCGAAAGAACCAGAAGGCUGCUUCCAAGAAGGCUGCUGGUGGAGAUGGAGAUGAAGAGGAUGAAGAAUGAGCUGUAAUGUUCAGUGAUAGUGAUUUUCAUUUAAUGUUAUAAAUUUGGUUAAUAAAAAGGAAAAGGAAGCAACAAGAAGAAAAAGAAACUACAAUAAGAGAGAGCUGAGAGAGGGAAUACAAUAGAGAGAGAAGAACACAAAAGGGAGAAGAAGGCAGAAGCAAGAAGGAGAAGCCUAGCGACAUAUGUUUAAUCUUGCUGGUGAGUUAGGUUGUGGGGUGGGAAAGUUUGUUCCUCGGCUUUUCUAUGGUUUAAAGUCAAUUUUCCUAGGAUGGCCAUGGAGCUUUCCUUUCUCUUUUUGGUUCUGGUAAGAGGUACGUAUGUGAAGGGUAGACAUGCCAUAAGUUUUUGUUCCUUGCUUGUUAUGUUGAGAAAAGUUAUGCCUUGAUCAUUA